rnacentral:tRNA from 1 species
GCCUCCUUAGCUCAGUGGUUAGAGCACUGGUCUAGUGAACCAGGGGCCCAGAGUUCAAAUCUCUGAGGAGGCU